rnacentral:rRNA from 1 species
UACGUAGGGUGCGAGCGUUGUCCGGAAUUAUUGGGCGUAAAGAGCUCGUAGGCGGUCUGUCGCGUCGGUCGUGAAAACUUGGGGCUUAACCCUGAGCUUGCGGUCGAUACGGGCAUGACUGGAGUUCGGUAGGGGAGACUGGAAUUCCUGGUGUAGCGGUGAAAUGCGCAGAUAUCAGGAGGAACACCGAUGGCGAAGGCAGGUCUCUGGGCCGAUACUGACGCUGAGGAGCGAAAGCGUGGGGAGCAAACAGG